rnacentral:rRNA from 1 species
CCUACGGGUGGCUGCAGUGAGGAAUAUUGGUCAAUGGGAGGAAUCCUGAACCAGCCAUGCCGCGUGCAGGACGACGGCUCUACGAGUUGUAAACUGCUUUUGUACCGGGGUAAAAUGCUCUACGAGUAGGGUUUUGAAAGUACGGUACGAAUAAGGAUCGGCUAACUCCGUGCCAGCAGCCGCGGUAAUACGGAGGAUCCGAGCGUUAUCCGGAUUUACUGGGUGUAAAGGGAGCGUAGACGGUGCGCCAAGUCUGGAGUGAAAUGCCGCAGCUUAACUGCGGAACUGCUUUGGAAACUGGCGAACGAGAGUGCGGGAGGGGUAAGCGGAAUUCCUAGUGUAGCGGUGAAAUGCGUAGAUAUUAGGAGGAACACCGGUGGCGAAGGCGGCUUACUGGACCGUAACUGACGUUGAGGCUCGAAAGCGUGGGGAGCAAACAGGAUUAGAUACCCCAGUAGUC